UAUUUGCAGUCUCCUCUCAGGCCCCCGGUUGCAGGUACUUGGGGUCUUCGGAGCUGCAUAGAAUAUCCAUGUGAGGAAGCCGAGACCUCCCUGCCUGAGUACCAGCAGCUUGAUGUGCUAUGUUCCUCACACACCACUUUGUUCUGUUGCCACGGAGAUAAUGGCGUUCCCCGUGUUAUUAUCUAUCCGCCAACAGAUAGAGCAACGCAGCGAGAUAUUGUUUACAGACUGAAGUCGUCUGCUAAAUACUGGACCUGCUAUAUCG